AUUGAACGCUGGCGGCAUGCCUUACACAUGCAAGUCGAACGGUAACAGCACUUCGGUGGCUGACGAGUGGCGGACGGGUGAGUAAUACAUCGGAACGUGCCCGAUCGUGGGGGAUAACUACUCGAAAGAGUGGCUAAUACCGCAUACGAUCUACGGAUGAAAGCGGGGGAUCGCAAGACCUCGCGCGGACGGAGCGGCCGAUGGCAGAUUAGGUAGUUGGUGGGAUAAAAGCUUACCAAGCCGACGAUCUGUAGCUGGUCUGAGAGGACGACCAGCCACACUGGGACUGAGACACGGCCCAGACUCCUACGGGAGGCAGCAGUGGGGAAUUUUGGACAAUGGGGAAACCCUGAUCCAGCCAUGCCGCGUGCAGGAUGAAGGCCUUCGGGUUGUAAACUGCUUUUGUACGGUAACGAAAGACUCUUUCUAAUACAGAGGUCCAUGACGGUACCGUAAGAAUAAGACACCGGCUAACUAACGUGCCAGCAGCCGCGGUAACUAGUCUACG
rnacentral:rRNA from 1 species